rnacentral:rRNA from 1 species
AAAAUGCAAGUCCGACGUGAAAGGGGAGCAAUCCCCCGGUAGGGUGGCAAACGGGUGAGUAAGACAUGGGUGAUCUGCCCUGGAGAUGGGGAUAUCCCUCCGAAAGGGGGGGCAAUACCGAAUAGUAUCCGGUUCCGUGAAGGGGGCCGGGGAAAGGGAGGCCUCUGGUACAAGCUUCCGCUCCUGGAUGAGCCCAUGGCCCAUCAGCUAGUUGGUAGGGUAAAGGCCUACCAAGGCGACGACGGGUAGCUGGUCUGAGAGGACAACCAGCCACACUGGCACUGAGACACGGGCCAGACUCCUACGGGAGGCAGCAGUGAGGAAUAUUGCGCAAUGGGGGCAACCCUGACGCAGCAACGCCGCGUGUGGGAAGAAGGCUUUCGGGUUGUAAACCACUUUUGCCCGGGACGAAAGGGGGGGCCUGAAUAAGGUCACCCGAUGACGGUACCGGGAGAAUAAGCCACGGCUAACUCUGUGCCAGCAGCCGCGGUAAGACAGAGGUGGCAAGCGUUGUUCGGAGUUACUGGGCGUAAAGAGUCUGUAGGUGGUCUGUCAAGUCUUUGGUGAAAGGCCGUGGCUUAACCAUGGGAAUGCCGAAGAGACUGGCAGACUGGAGGCUGGGAGAGGGAAGCGGAAUUUCUGGUGUAGCGGUGAAAUGCGUAGAUAUCAGAAGGAAGGCCGGUGGCGAAGGCGGCUUCCUGGAACAGACCUGACACUGAGAGACGAAAGCGUGGGGAGCAAACAGGAUUAGAUACCCUGGUAGUCCACGCCCUAAACGAUGGGUACUAAGUGUGGGAGGGUUAAACCUCCCGUGCCGCAGCCAACGCAGUAAGUACCCCGCCUGGGGAGUACGGCCGCAAGG